GUAGAAAUAGAAGAGAAACACACUGCUGACAAUAGCAAAUCCAUACAUAGGCACAACAACGAAAAGGCUCAUGAAGGUUGAAAAUUGGUAAGAAAAUCCAAAGAAAAUGGCAGAAGACAAGCCCCAUAUAGUGACUUUCAAGAAUUCCUUCUUGGGUGAUUCCUCCUUUGAAGGCAAACGAUUGUAGAUUACUACGCAGUAGUCCAAUAUAAAAUAACCCAAAUACACAAAAAUUAUAAAGGCUACCAUUGGCAUGUCGUUGUUUAUAUAUGCUCUGUAGAUUGUGGUUAUGCUGUUAAGUGUCAAGUACAAGCAGGAGAUGGAUUGUGCAAAGCUAGAAGUAGAAGAACGGGCCGGGUUUUCACUGUCAUGGUUUGGAGACAUUUCUGAAACUUGUAACGAAGUGUUUUGGUUAUGGUAGUGGAAGAUAUGAG
rnacentral:misc_RNA from 1 species